AAAUCACACACCCUAGCGCAAACCCUGGAGCUUGCAAAAAUGAUGUGGAUCGGUGUCAUCUCAUGGAUACUUUUUCUAUAAACAGCCGAAGGACCUGGAUCAGGAAGUUAUCCAGACAGAAUUACACUCCUGACUCCCUUGGUCCAGAACACUGUCUCCAGAACUGGGGUGAUGAAUAUCUGUUGGUUUCCUUCUCUGCCUCAAAAAGCAGCUGAUCAUUGCUGCAGUGCUGCUUCUUCAAAGGAAACUUACUUCCUUGCUCUCAUAACAAUCUCCAUUGGGGCUGACUUGCAAUGGUUGGUCUUCUUUAGUAUGCCAUGGUUUUUGUUCUUGAUAUAUGUCACUAGUUGAUGUGUCAAGGUUGCAGAUGUCUAACAAAAGUCUCUGUGCACCCGGAAAUCCCCUUAGCAGCUGCCACGGUGGGAGGACUCUUCAUGCUGCUUGAUAAGCUGCUAUGCUUUACUCCACUGGCAGACACUUAGCCUGGAGAGAAGCUGCUCUCAUCCAAUAUUGUCCAAAGUGAGGCACUUCUGAGCUCAGCACUUCUCCCAGACCCUGCAAUCCCUUUUAUUUUUGCAACUGAGCAAUGAGCUGUACAUAACUGAAGCUCAUCCAAAUGUGGAACUGCCGUGAAGCUUGGACAUGCAUAACAGACUAGUGAAAUUGACAUCGUACUUUCCUUUCAUCAUUGAAAGAAAAUACAACCAUCUCUUCAGUUGUCCUUCCUCAGUUCUGGACACGGUGGAAAUGAAAGAAAAUAUUCCUCUGUGAAAGAUUCAACAACUUGAAGCAACACACUGGUCAAAACUUAUGAACGUGCAGCUCAUUUUCCAGUAAAUCAAGGUUACUGGAUAUUACAGGAGGACAAAGUACUGAGACAUCAUCAUCUCGGAGCUGACAGAAGAAAAUAUCACAUAAAAUAAGGUGAUCUGUGAAGAUAGUCAUGGAGGAGUGAUUAUUUCUUGUAAUGACUCAUGAGGAAGGGGAUGUCCAGUGACUAACAAAUGCAGAUUUAGAACAAACAUAAUAAGGAAGCAUUUCUUCUUGAAAAGUUAGUUGUGGAAGUCACUGUAACCAAAUUAUUUGGAAACUUAAGUGGAUAUAGUGGGCAUAAUCUUUCAAAAUAAAUAAAUAAAUACUUUUUAGGUUCUUUGGUUGUUAUUGAACAGACUGAUCUAGAUACAACCUUUGGGACAAUAAAUUUCUAUGUGGCAGAGAUAGAGAAGGUGAUACCAGGUAAAUAGUUGCUCUACAUUGGUGGGUUUUUUUUUUUUUUUUGGACAUUCAUUCCCAAAGCAACUGCUGGUUUCCCGUCCUGGAGAUCAUUUACAGACCAUGGGGGCAACUGUACUAAUUCUGUAUGACUGCUGUGGUGUUACAGACAUUUCAACUGUAUUAAAACAAGUG
ensembl:lncRNA